rnacentral:rRNA from 1 species
GUCUAUGGCCAUGCCUCCCUGAACAUACCCAAUCUCAUCUGAUCUUGGAAGCUAAGCAGGGUUGGGCCUGGCUAGUACUUGGAUGGGAGGCCGCCUAGGAAGACCAGGUGCUGUAGGUG